rnacentral:sRNA from 1 species
GCUGGGCACAGUACCGCGUGCCUGUGAUCUCAGCUACUCAGGAGGCUGAGGCAGGAGGAUUGCAAGUUGGAGGCCAGUUUAGACAACUAAGUGAGAUCCUGUCUCAA